rnacentral:pre_miRNA from 1 species
ACCCGGCACUCGCGGCAUGAUCGAUUGGACCGGUGUUGCGCCCGUGGUUUUGGUGAUGAUUUUGAUGACGAGGCUGAAG